GACGAACGCUGGCGGCGUGCUUAACACAUGCAAGUCGAACGGAAAGGCCCUUCUGUUUUGGGGUGCUCGAGUUGCUAAUGUGUGUGUGACACGGGAGUAACCUUCACGUGACGUUGGGAUAACUUGAAGAGACUGGGGAUAAUACCAGAUAGGAGCUCCUGCUGCAUGGUGGGGGUUGGUAAGUUUCGGCGGUUGGGGAUGGACUCGCGGCUUAUCAGCUUGUUGGUGGGGUAGUGGCUGACCAAGGCUUUGCCGGGUAGCCGGCCUGAGAGGGUUACCGGCCCCAUUGGGACUGAGAUAAGGCACAGACUCAUACGGGAGGCAGCAGUGGGGAAUAUUGCACAAUGGGCGGAAGCAUGAUGCAGCAACGCCGCGUGCGGGAUGACGGCCUUCGGGUUGUAAACCGCUGUCGCCUGUGAAGAAGAGUGAGUGACGGUAAUGGGUAAAGAAGCACCGGCUAACUACGUG
rnacentral:rRNA from 1 species